UACAGAGGUCUCAAGCGUUGUUCGGAUUCAUUGGGCGUAAAGGGUGUGUAGGUGGGGCCGUAAGUCGGGUGUGAAAUUUCGGAGCUUAACUCCGAAACUGCAUUCGAUACUGCGGUGCUUGAGGACUGGAGAGGAGACUGGAAUUCAUGGUGUAGCAGUGAAAUGCGUAGAGAUCAUGAGGAAGACCAGUGGCGAAGGCGGGUCUCUGGACAGUUCCUGACACUGAGACACGAAGGCCAGGGGAGCAAACGGG
rnacentral:rRNA from 1 species